rnacentral:ncRNA from 22 species
GCUGUUUUAGAACAAGAGAGGACAAAUCGUAAAAACAUGGAAUGAUGAAUCGGAAAGGGGUGAAAAUCCUCUGCUGUUCCGCAACUGUGAUGGGAACGAACGCUAUUAAGCCACUGUCCCGAUAAAUCGAGAUGGGAAGGUUAGCAAGUAGGCAGCCCUAAGUCAGGAGACCUCUCAUUCCAAAAACCUCG